rnacentral:rRNA from 1 species
UGCCAUCCGCCGCGGUAAUACGAGGGGUGCUAGCGUUGUCCGGAAUAACUGGGCGUAAAGGGUCCGUAGGCGUUUUACCAAGUUGAUUGUUAAAUCCACCGGCUUAACCGGUGACCUGCAAUCAAAACUGGUAGAAUAGAAUAUGUGAGAGGAAUGUGGAAUUCCUGGUGUAGCGGUGACAUGCGUAGAUAUCAGGAGGAACACCAAUGGCGAAGGCAGCAUUCUGGCACAAUAUUGACGCUGAGGGACGAAAGCGUGGGGAGCGAACAGGAUUAGAUA